CCUACGUGCGGCAGCAGUGGGGAAUAUUGCACAAUGGGGGAAACCCUGAUGCAGCGACGCCGCGUGAGUGAAGAAGUAAUUCGUUACGUAAAGCUCUAUCAGCAGGGAAGAAACACUGACCUUACGGUCAGCAGACGGUACCUGAGUAAGAAGCCCCGGCUAACUACGUGCCAGCAGCCGCGGUAAUACGUAGGGGGCAAGAGUUAUCCGGAUUUACUGGGCGUAAAGGGAGCGUAGACGGUGCGCCAAGACUGGAGUGAAAUGCCGCAGCUUAACUGCGGAACUGCUUUGGAAACUGGCGAGCUAGAGUGCGGGGGGGGUAAGCGGAGUUCCUAGUGUAGCGGUGAAAUGGGUAGAUAUUAGGAGGAACACCGGUGGCGAAGGCGGCGUACUGGACCGUAACUGACGUUGAGGCUCGAAAGCGUGGGGAGCAAACAGGAUUAGAUACCCCAUAGUC
rnacentral:rRNA from 1 species